AUACGUAGGGAGCGAGCGUUGUCCGGAAUUUCUGGGUGUAAAGGGUGCGUAGGCGGGGAUGCAAGUCAGAUGUGAAAUGUAUGGGCUCAACCCAUGAACUGCAUUUGAAACUGCAACUCUUGAGUGAGGUAGAGGUAAGCGGAAUUCCUAGAGUAGCGGUGAAAUGCGUAGAUAUUAGGAGGAACAUCGGUGGCGAAGGCGGCUUACUGGGCCUUUACUGACGCUGAGGCACGAAAGCGUGGGGAGCAAACAGGAUUAGAUACCCUGGUAGUCCACGCUGUAAACGAUGAUGACUAGGUGUGGGGGGACUGAACCCUUCCGUGCCGCAGUUAACACAAUAAGUCAUCCACCUGGGGAGUACGACCGCAAGGUUGAAACUCAAAGGAAUUGGCGGGG
rnacentral:rRNA from 1 species